CACACGACUCUCGGCAACGGAUAUCUAGGCUCUCGCAUCGAUGAAGAACGUAGCAAACUGCGAUACUUGGUGUGAAUUGCAGAAUCCCGUGAACCAUCGA
rnacentral:rRNA from 1 species